UACGGAGGGUGCGAGCGUUGUCCGGAAUCACUGGGCGUAAAGGGCGCGUAGGUGGCGCGGGUAGUCGUCGGUGAAAGCUCAGGGCUCAACCCUGAGUCGGCCGGUGAUACUCCUGUGCUUGAGUGUGGUAGAGGCCAAUGGAAUUCCGGGUGUAGCGGUGGAAUGCGUAGAGAUCCGGAAGAACACCGGUGGCGAAGGCGGUUGGCUGGGCCACAACUGACACUGAUGCGCGACAGCGUGGGGAGCAAACAGG
rnacentral:rRNA from 1 species